UACGGGAGGCAGCAGUGGGGAAUAUUGCACAAUGGGCGAAAGCCUGAUGCAGCUAUGCCGCGUGUAUGAAGAAGGCCUUAGGGUUGUAAAGUACUUUCAUCGGGGAGGAAAAACAAAACUAAUAAUUUUAUUUCUUGACGUUACCCGAAAAAGAAGCACCGGCUAACUCCGUGCCAGCAGCCGCGGUAAUACGGAGGGUGCUAGCGUUAAUCAGAAUUACUGGGCGUAAAGAGCACGUAGGUGGUUUUUUUAAGUCAGAUGUGAAAUCCCUGGGCUUAACCUGGAACUGCAUUUUGAAACUGAAAUACUAGAGUAUCGUAGAGGGAGGUAGAAUUCUAGGUGUAGCGGUGAAAUGCGUAGAUAUCUGGAGGAAUACCUGUGGCGAAAGCGGCCUCCUAAACCGAAUACUGACACUGAGGUGCGAAAGCGUGGGGAGCAAACGAGGAUUAGAUACC
rnacentral:rRNA from 1 species